ACAUGCCCACACCUGUGGCUUCUGAAGCAGAGCACCAGCAGUGACAGUCCCACCAGAACCGCAUGGAAUAGAAAACUGUGCAUUUCCCUAAGGAAAGGGAAUGCCAGAGAAGGGCAGAAGGGAAAUCAGGAAGACAAAACGUGUCUUCAUGUUGGAGUGGACCUUUCCUCUAUCUGUCAACAGAAUGGAUAAAUUGUGGAAGAGUAAUAUCAGAAUACUACACAUCAGUAAAAAACAACAAACUUCUGCUACAAACAAUCAACAUCGAUGAAUCUUUCAGGCAAAAGGUUAUAGAAACAGAUGAUCAGUGGCCCACGGAUUCCAGGUGAGGAUCUGGGACCCAGACAUCCAGAUAUUGAAAACACAGGGAUGGAGUCUGUAUGGAAAAAAUUAAAAUAUAGCAAAAUGUGAAAUACGGAAGAGAAAUCUUUCAAUUUCCCAAUGGAAGUGAGAAAAGAGCAAAGAAAAGUAUUGGUCUUCCAAAACAAAUAGAGGACGGAGCUGCUGCUGUUGCAUGGUGUCUAGAAACUCAGACAACUUCAUCAUUCCAUAUUUGCAUCCAAGAGAGAGAAAGAAAAACUACAAUCAUUUUCCAUUUACCCAUCAACCCAUCAACCUCCAAAUAAAGGCUAUUAAAAAACAAUCAAAGUGUGAAGAGGGCAGAAAAUGUGAUGAAGAGAUUCUUUGGAGAAAGUAGCUGCCACUGUUACCUUGGGAUCUGCCUAUAGUCCUCACAGAGCUUGCCCUUGCAGGAUAGAACAUAGGAGUCUGGGAGUCUGCAAGAAGAGACAGGGUCUCACUAUGUUGCCCCAGUUGGCCUUGAACUGCUGGACUCAAGGGAUCCUCCUGCCUCAGCAUCCUGAGUAGCUGGGUCUACAGGCAUGAACCACCAGGCCCAGAACCCUGUCUUUUGAAAGCCAUAUGCGAUCUGUCUGCCCUGAAGUGACUACUUCAUCUCCAACCAGCCCUUGGCUGGCAAAGUCAGGAAGACUCCAGUCUUUCCUGAAGACCAGGGGAGAGUUUAUAACUCUAGCAUCAAAGUCAGCAGCUGUUCAUCUAGAAGACAACUUCCCAAAAGUCAAUGUCUUUGCCUGAAGCUUUUCUUCCCAGAUCUCCUAUGGUGAAACAACCAAAGGGAAGAAGAAUGUGGGCAGCCCUCAGUAAGACAGGAGAUGAGCAUCAACAUUGACCCAUUCUUUCUUCCAGUCCUCGAUGCUUACCUUGUACAUUCUUCUUUGUCUUCCGACUCAGUGCCUUUAGGGUAUGGACGUUGCCUGGUCCCACACAAGCCAAGCAUCAAAUGGAUGGCUCAACAAGGAGGCCAAGACCAGCUAAUGUUUAGUGAGCACCCAAAGGGGCCACACUGGAGAGAACAGCACAGCUCCGUCUGAGAAACAGCUGUUCCUUCCUGCCUGAGAGGCAGAGUGAUAGAAGAUAUCACAGAAUGUUGCUGCUUUGUCUUCCACCCUGAACCCUCCACGACCUCCCUGUAGCUUCCUGAUUUUAAGUAGACAUCAAAUGAUUCUUAAUCCUUUCUGGGUCUUGGAACGAUUUGAAAAUUGUCAACAGUACUGGGAUUCCCAGAAUAAUGCACAUAUGUACAUACUCAGAUAUUCCCCAAGCCCUGGAUAUAAUUUUAAGGGAGUUCACAGACCACACUCCCCCACCCAUCUGUGGACCCAGAUUCUGUGGGUUCGAGAUUCAGAAGCCCUGUUUCUAGGCAGGCCCUCUGUUGCUAACGCCCCUCGAGAACAUCACCCUAGAUGAUUAUCCCUUCUUCCUCCACUCCUUCCCACCUUCUCCAACUGCUGGGUUUCAGCACAAAGAUUGCUUGCCAGUUAAACUGGCACCAUGGACCGCACAGUAGUUGUUUCUUGGGUCUAGAGGAAACAGCCAGAUUCCUUUAAGUAAAUCAUGUCUUAGUUAUUGAUUGUCUCCACUUGAAGUUUUUGACAAUCUCUGAUUAAAUCAUAAACCACUGCA
rnacentral:lncRNA from 1 species